GACGAACGCUGGCGGCGUGCCUAACACAUGCAAGUCGAGCGAGUUGAUUCUCUUCGGAGAUGAAGCUAGCGGCGGACGGGUGAGUAACACGUGGGCAACCUGCCUCAUAGAGGGGAAUAGCCUUCCGAAAGGGAGAUUAAUACCGCAUAAGAUUGUAGCUUCGCAUGAAGUAGCAAUUAAAGGAGCAAUCCGCUAUGAGAUGGGCCCGCGGCGCAUUAGCUAGUUGGUGAGGUAACGGCCCACCAAGGCGACGAUGCGUAGCCGACCUGAGAGGGUGAUCGGCCACAUUGGGACUGAGACACGGCCCAGACUCCUACGGGAGGCAGCAGUGGGGAAUAUUGCACAAUGGGGGAAACCCUGAUGCAGCAACGCCGCGUGAGUGAUGACGGCCUUCGGGUUGUAAAGCUCUGUCUUCAGGGACGAUAAUGACGGUACCUGAGGAGGAAGCCACGGCUAACUACGUGCCAGCCGCCGCUGUAACAC
rnacentral:rRNA from 1 species